CUGCGAGUGAAGAGGGAAGAGCUCAAAUUUCGAAUCUGGCGGUCUUUGGCCGUCCGAGUUGUAAUCUAGAGAAGCGUCGUCCGCGCUGGACCGUGUAUAAGUCUCCUGGAAGGGAGCGUCGUAGAGGGUGAGAAUCCCGUCUUUGACACGGACUACCAGUGCUAUGUGAUGCGCUCUCGACGAGUCGAGUUGUUUGGGAAUGCAGCUCAAAAUGGGUGGUAAAUUCCAUCUAAAGCUAAAUACAGGCGAGAGACCGAUAGCGAACAAGUACCGUGAGGGAAAGAUGAAAAGAACUUUGGAAAGAGAGUUAAACAGUACGUGAAAUUGCUGAAAGGGAAACGCUUGACGUCAGUCGCGUCGGCCGGGGAUCAACCUUGCUUCUCUGCUGGGUGUACUUCCUGGUCGACGGGUCAGCAUCAGCUUCGGUCGCCGUACAAGGGCGAGGGGAACGUGGCACUCUUCGGAGUGUGUUAUAGCCUUUCGUCGUAUGCGGCGGGUCGGGACUGAGGAACUCAGCACGGCUUCGGUUUGUGCUUAGGAUGCUGGCAUAAUGGCCUUAAGCGACCCGUCUUGAAACACGGACCAAGGAGUCUAACAUGCCUGCGAGUGUUUGGGUGGCAAACCCGAGCGCGCAAUGAAAGUGAAAGUUGAGACCUCUGUCGUGGAGGGCAUCGACGCCCGGACCUGAGUCUUCGACGACGGAUCUGCGGUAGAGCACGUAUGUUGGGACCCGAAAGAUGGUGAACUAUGCCUGAAUAGGGUGAAGCCAGAGGAAACUCUGGUGGAGGCUCGUAGCGAUUCUGACGUGCAAAUCGAUCGUCGAAUUUGGCUAUAGGGGCGAAAGACUAAUCGAACCA
rnacentral:rRNA from 1 species